AUGCAAGCUACUAACGCAUAUGGUGGAUGCCUUGGCGUCAGGUGCUGAAGAAGGGCGUGGUAAGCUGCGAAAAGCCUCGGGUAGCCGCAAACAGGCGUUAAUCCGGGGAUACCCGAAUGGGGAAACCCGACUGGGCUAAAACCCAGUCAAUCCUUACUGAAUCCAUAGGUAAGGAUGAGCAACCGGGAGAACUGAAACAUCUUAGUACCCCGAGGAACAGAAAACAACCGUGAUUCCCCAAGUAGCGGCGAGCGAACGGGGAACAGCCCAAACCUUAAACGUGUCAAGACUGUACUCGUUGCGUUUAAGGGGUCGAGGGGCGUAAGAGGGAUCCGGUACAGCGGAUCCGGUGAGCAAAAAGGCUCCCCCUUAGGGGAAUAGACCUGGAAAGGUCAACCGAAGAGAGCAACAGUCUCGUACCCGAAAAGGAGAGCACUCACCUGUUACGAACCCAAGUACUGCGGGGCACGUGAAAUCCUGCAGGAAUUCGGGAGGACCACCUCCUAAGGCUAAAUACUACCUGACGACCGAUAGUGAACGAGUACCGUGAGGGAAAGGUGAAAAGCACCCCGGGAGGGGAGUGAAAAAGAACCUGAAACCAUAUGCUGACAAGCAGUCAGAGUCCGGCGUAAAGCCGGAUCAUGGCGUACUUUUUGUAGAACGGACCGGCGAGUUGCGAUAUGCAGCGAGGUUAAAGCUUAAAAGGCUGGAGCCGCAGCGAAAGCGAGUCUGAAGAGGGCGAAAGAGUUGCAUAGCGCAGACCCGAAACCGGGUGAGCUACCCAUGGGCAGGGUGAAGCGAGACUAACCUCUCGUGGAGGCCCGAACCGACCGUCGUUGAAAAGCCGGCGGAUGACCUGUGGGUAGGAGUGAAAAGCUAAACGAACCCGGAGAUAGCUGGUUCUCCCCGAAAUAGCUUUAGGGCUAGCCUCAGGGGGAUACUUUAUGGGGGUAGAGCACUGAUCAGGCUAGGGGCGUCGACCACGUUACCGAACCUUUUCAAACUCCGAAUACCAUAAAGAGAGAACCUGGGAGUCAGACUAUGGGUGACAAGAUUCAUAGUCAAAAGGGAAAGAGCCCAGACCGCCGGCUAAGGUCCCCAAGUACAGGCUAAGUGGGAAAGGAUGUGGGGCUACCCAGACAACCAGGAUGUUGGCUUAGAAGCAGCCACCAUUCAAAGAGUGCGUAAUAGCUCACUGGUCAAGUGGCCCUGCGCCGAAAAUGUAACGGGGCUCAAGCCUGACACCAAAGCCGCGGAGUUUAGUGGUUUGUCGUUAGUGGUUAGUAGUUAGGAGAAGAAAAGAUGCCGGAUUUUAGUGGUUAGUCAUUAGUGGUUAGUGGUUGGAGUAGAAGGAAUUCGUUUUGCGAAUUCCCACUAAACUAACGACUAAUUACCAACGACCUACAACUAAAAGACAAGCGUGGAAUCCUAACGACUAAUUACCAACGACCAACCACUAAACUGGUAGGGGAGCGUUCCAGCAGCACAGAAGGUGUACCGAAAGGUAUGCUGGAGCGGCUGGAAGUGAGAAUGCCGGUAUGAGUAGCGAGAAGGCAGGUGAGAAUCCUGCCCGCCGGAAGCCCGAGGUUUCCUGGGGAAGGCCGUCGUCCGCCCAGGGUAAGUCGGGACCUAAGCCGAGGCUGAAAAGCGUAGGCGAUGGACA
rfam:Syntrophaceticus schinkii strain Sp3 genome assembly, contig: SSCH_Contig_264